rnacentral:rRNA from 1 species
AACGUAGGAGGCAAGCGUUAUCCGGAGUUACUGGGCGUAAAGGGUGUGCAGGCGGGUGGACAAGUGGUGGAUGAAAGACCCUGGCUUAACUGGGGGAACGUAAACCAGACUGUUCAUCUAGAACAUGAGAGAGGGAUGUGGAAUUCCGGGUGUAGUGGUGAAAUGCGUAGAGAUCCGGAGGAACACCAGAGGCGAAAGCGGCAUCCUGGCUCAUAGUUGACGCUCAGACACGAGAGCAUGGGGAGCGAACGGG